GUCUAGCUCAGUUGGUAGAGUGCAAGGCUCUUAACCUUGAGGUUGUGGGUUUGAGCCCCACCAUGGACA
rnacentral:tRNA from 1 species